GAGAAAUUAUGGGAGAGAAGGGGGAAGGGUGGGGGAGAGGAUGGGUUGUUGGGGGAGGAGGGGUGAUGUUUCUGGGCAGUGCAUGAGGAGGAGGAGGUGGUGGUGGAGGAGGAGAAAGGGAACACACCAACUAGAGAGAUGAUAAAACGAUGUUGUGAAACAGGGGGAGGUGGCUAGAUGGUGAACGGGUGAAUGCUGGUGCAUCCGGUCAGAUUAACAGCAGGAAUAGUUUCAUGACAUUCAUGACUUCAUCCACAGUCCGGUCUGUUUAUCUGGUUCUUUUUAAGGUUCAACAUAUAUUUAAUUUCUUCUUUUCCGACCUCCAGAGUUUGUACCUAAAUGUCCCAGAGCCCUUUCCUCUUCUCCGUGAAACACUUUGCUCUGCUGCCUCUACUGUAAGCCUGCCACUCCACGUUCUGGAAGCUCUUUGUUUUCCUACUGUUUUCGUGUCUGUGUUUGUUUGCGGUAGAAAUAAGUAGAGAUGUGUAACGAGGUGGUAUGGUGAACCACAUCUAAAGACUACCCCCCGGCUCUGGUUAAACAUGUUUUUAAGUAUUACAGUAAUAACAAAGUGUUUUUAAGUGUGGUCCCACGAGGGUAGGAGGAGGGAGAAGGUUAGCAGGAGAAGACACACAGCAGGGGCCACCAGAGAUUAUAUACCUCAACUCACCUGAUGCCAUGCCAUCCAACUCACGGAUCAUCAUUUAGCUGCUGCUUAUUAUUAUGGGCUACCUGUUGGAGAUCAUAACGUAGAGACAGCGGCCGUAGAGAUCCGCUGUGGCAACUACGCCGUGAAGGCUAACCACUUGUUCCUUUAGACGUCCCUGUUGCAGCAUCAGUCGAUGGAGUCGGCGGAGGGGCGAUAGAGCAGUUAACCAGGCACUUAUUGAUCAGACACCACAAGUAUUUGUCCUCUGAACGUAUCAGAUACGUUCACACGUUGCAAGACGAGAUUUUCCUAGAUUACAUUUUGGGCAUGGGGCAGGGCAGGACUUGCUGUUGUCGAAUGGGCCAGAGACACCGAGCGGCCAUCUUGGUUCCAUCUCGGUUCCCAACAGGGGCAAGCUAGUGUUCAGAACCAAGAUGGCCACUCGGUGUCUCUGGCCCAUUCGACAACAGCAAGUCCUGCCCUGCCCCAUGCCCAAAAUUGGGCAUGGGCCACGUUGUGGAAACCCUUGUUCGCUUUUCAGUCGACAACAGUCAGGAAGCUACCUGAGACAUGUUUGAAUAAAGAAUGUAGAAAGUGUAGACCCAUCGCACAGCCAGCAUACCAGUGGCAUGCCAAUGCUCACUGUCUCGAGCUAGCUGGGAUUGUAAAACAUGUUGGAUGUUUGAAAAUGUACACAACCCCUAUGGGACUGAGUAGUCGUCAAAUCAAAGACAUUCCCACUAGUCACACAAGAGCCCGCCCUCAAUAUGAAGGGUGGGGCGGGACGGAAAGGUGUCAACCUUAUAAGGACUUCCUGAUGAGCAUUCCAUUCCCUAGAUGUGACUUGGGACGGAAAGACCUGGAAAUCCUUCUCAAUCUACGUGUGAUAUAGCUGUAUAGUAUUUCUGUUGUCGUUGUUGAUGUUGUUUAAUAGAUCUAUAUCCAUUCAGUUAUUAACAAGGGUCUUUUUUUAAAUACUGUAGGCAUAUUAAUGGAAAUUGUAUAUAUAUAUUUACACACACGAAAUCCAUAAAACACAGUAAAUAUCACUCUACCCAGGAGGACCAAUGAGAGAGGUUUUAGAGAGGGGUACUUGCAGACAGAAACCGGCACCAAUGAUUUGUAACCAUUUGACCUGCUAGUGUUUGGCUUGUAAAUUGUCUUGUAGCGUCUGUGCCCAUGGUUGUGUGAUGUCUCGUGUAAUGCAUACUAAUAUAUUCUGUUUAUCAUAAAUGAACAUAUUUAAUGAAACAUGAAAUGAUGUGGCCUUUGUUGUUGUUAUUGUUUUAUGGUUUAUUGUAUGCGUCUCUUUGUAAUCCAAACUAUUGAUGGUUCUGUAGCUAUUAAAAGAUCCUGUUAGAGUUUCAAAUGAUUCCUCUGAAAUAAAGCUUCAUAGAAACAAAACAAACCAGAAGCAUAUCCAUGAAGCAGGAAUGACUCUGACCUGAACCCUGAACCCCUCAUCUCUGGCCCGGGGGGGAACCACCAACCUAAAGUCGCGUGUUUGAGUCCCGGCCCAGCACCAAUCUGUGUUGAGUCUCCAAAGUCUGUUGGUGUUUUAAUGGCAGCGGUCCGUGUCUCUGGUGCCCUCUGACCUCUGAAGACAGGAAGUGACCUUGUCUCUUCAUGUCUAUACGCUAUGGAGUAAAGACGGCUUAGUCUAGUCAAGAUGAUCAACCGGUGCGUUUGUUAACAAUCCUC
ensembl:lncRNA